rnacentral:rRNA from 1 species
CCUACGGGAGGCAGCAGUGAGGAAUAUUGGUCAAUGGCCGGAAGGCUGAACCAGCCAAGCCGCGUGAAGGACGAAGGUGCCAAGCAUUGUAAACUUCUUUUGUCAAGGGACAAAAUCAGGCUCGAGAGCCUGACCGAGGGUACUUGAAGAAAAAGCAUCGGCUAACUCCGUGCCAGCAGCCGCGGUAAUACGGAGGAUGCGAGCGUUAUCCGGAUUUAUUGGGUUAAAAGGGUGCGUGGGCGGACGGUUAAGUCAGUGGGAAAAGCCCGGGGCGAAACCCCGACGAGCAGUUGAAACUGGCGGUCUUGAGAUGUCGAGAGGUAUGCGGAAUGCGCAGUGUAGCGGUGAAAUGCUUAGAUAUUGCGCAGAACUCCGAUUGCGAAGGCAGCAUACCGGCGGCGAUCUGACGCUGAGGCACGAAAGCGUGGGUAUCGAACAGGAUUAGAUACCCCGGUAGUC